GAUUAUGGCUCAGGACGAACGCUGGCGGCGUGCUUAACACAUGCAAGUCGAACGAGAAGAGAUGAGAAGCUUGCUUCUUAUCGAUUCGAGUGGCAAACGGGUGAGUAACGCGUAAGCAACCUGCCCUCUAGAUGGGGACAACAGCUGGAAACGGCUGCUAAUACCGAAUACGUUCUUUCUGCCGCAUGGCAGAAGGAAGAAAGGGAGGCUCUUCGGAGCUUUCGCUGGAGGAGGGGCUUGCGUCUGAUUAGCUAGUUGGAGGGGUAACGGCCCACCAAGGCGACGAUCAGUAGCCGGUCUGAGAGGAUGAACGGCCACAUUGGGACUGAGACACGGCCCAGACUCCUACGGGAGGCAGCAGUGGGGAAUCUUCCGCAAUGGACGAAAGUCUGACGGAGCAACGCCGCGUGAACGAUGACGGCCUUCGGGUUGUA
rnacentral:rRNA from 1 species